UUCAUUGAAUCAAAUUACCCACCUGUCCCUACCAUAAUGUAUUUUGUUCUUUUUAGUUACUGGAUCUAAAGGUCUUGAAACUUUCUCUCCAUCCUCCAGCUGGUAGCUACACGGAGAUACCCUUCACUCCAUCAGCUGGCCCACUGUGACAGCAAUAUCCAUGACUCAGUUUUCAUACUUUUGGGGUAUGACCUACAGACUGUCAGUUCUGGCUCUGGAGAUGAUUUGGAAGAAGAAACAUCACUUAAGAAAGAACACCUGACACUUUUUCUACGGACCUGUUGUGAUGCAUUUACUCAGGAUGAUGUCAGAACCAAGGGAGGAGCAAGAGAACACAAUUUCCAAUAUGAGCAACUCCAGGCACAUCCUCAUACUCCAUGGUAUGAUGCUGAACCAACAACAGCAGAAGUGGUGGUGUCUGCAUGGCUCACCUUUGACAGAGUGGCCUGGAUAACAACAGCUGUUAAGAUAGGAGCAGGAAGAUAA
rnacentral:lncRNA from 1 species